rnacentral:rRNA from 1 species
AGAGUUUGAUCCUGGCUCAGAACGAACGCUGGCGGCAGGCUUAACACAUGCAAGUUGAACGGGAUUGUUAAGUAGCUUGCUAUUUAACAAGAGAGUAGCGCACUGGUGAGUAACACGUGGGAACGUACCUUUUGGUGGGGGACAACAUCUGGAAACGGAUGCUAAUACCGCAUAAGACCUGAGGGUGAAAGAUUUAUCGCCGAAAGAACGGCCCGCGGAAGAUUAGGCAGUUGGUGGGGUAAAGGCCUACCAAACCUACGAUCUAUAGCUGGUCUGAGAGGACGAUCAGCCACACUGGAACUGAGACACGGUCCAGACUCCUACGGGAGGCAGCAGUGAGGAAUAUUGGGCAAUGGAGGCAACUCUGACCCAGCCAUGCCGCGUGAGUGAAGAAGGUUUUCGGAUUGUAAAGCUCUUUCGGAUGUGACGAUGAUGACGGUAGCAUCUAAAGAAGCCCCGGCUAACUUCGUGCCAGCAGCCGCGGUAAUACGAAGGGGGCGAGCGUUGUUCGGAAUUACUGGGCGUAAAGGGUGUGUAGGCGGUUAUGUAAGAUAGCGGUGAAAUCCCGGGGCUUAACCUCGGAAUAGCCGUUAUAACUAUGUAGCUAGAGUUAUGGAGAGGAUAGCGGAAUACCCAGUGUAGAGGUGAAAUUCGUAGAUAUUGGGUAGAACACCGGUGGCGAAGGCGGCUAUCUGGCCAUAUACUGACGCUGAGGCACGAAAGCAUGGGGAUCAAACAGGAUUAGAUACCCUGGUAGUCCAUGCUGUAAACGAUGAAUGCUGGUUGUCGGCUUUAGGGUCGGUGACGAAGUUAACGCGAUAAGCAUUCCGCCUGGGGAGUACGGUCGCAAGAUUAAAACUCAAAGGAAUUGACGGGGACCCGCACAA